rnacentral:rRNA from 1 species
GGAUUAGAUACCCUGGUAGUCCACGCCGUAAACGAUGUCUACUAGCAGCUUGUCUCUUAAGAGAUGUUUUGCGCAGCUAACGCAUUAAGUAGACCGCCUGGGGAGUACGGCCGCAAGGUUAAAACUCAAAUGAAUUGACGGGGGCCCGCACAAGCGGUGGAGCAUGUGGUUUAAUUCGAUGCAACGCGAAGAACCUUACCAUCCCUUGACAUCCAGAGAAUUUACUAGAGAUAGUUUAGUGCCUUCGGGAACUCUGAGACAGGUGCUGCAUGGCUGUCGUCAGCUCGUGCCG